UCCAGACUCCUACGGGAGGCAGCAGUGGGGAAUAUUGCACAAUGGGGGAAACCCUGAUGCAGCAACGCCGCGUGAAGGAAGACGGUUUUCGGAUUGUAAACUUCUAUCAAUAGGGAAGAAAGAAAUGACGGUACCUGAGUAAGAAGCCCCGGCUAACUACGUGCCAGCAGCCGCGGUAAUACGUAGGGGGCAAGCGUUAUCCGGAAUUACUGGGUGUAAAGGGAGCGUAGACGGCGAGGUAAGCCUGAAGUGGAAGCCCGCGGCCCAACCGCGGAACUGCUUUGGGAACUGUUUUGCUGGAGUAUGGGAGGGGUAAGCGGAAUUCCUGGUGUAGCGGUGAAAUGCGUAGAUAUCAGGAGGAACACCGGUGGCGAAGGCGGCUUACUGGACCAUAACUGACGUUGAGGCUCGAAAGCGUGGGGAGCGAACAGGAUUAGAUACCCGAGUAAUA
rnacentral:rRNA from 1 species